GGCGGCCGGCGGCCAAAUUGGCCGCCUAGAACACGUUUUGGGCCGGCUAGAAAUCCCGUAGAUACCAUAAAUGAAUACUUGGAAACUGCUUUGGGGGCUCGAAAAUUUACGAUUCGCUCCUUUCGGUAAUUUUAUGCAUUUCCGCUAAUUGCGGUUCACUUCCUUGGCGGCACGUAAACAUCCAAUAUGGCGACCAAAAAACGAAAAAUUGAUCGCAAAAUCGACGAUUUUUUUUAAUUUUCAACCGAAAUCAAUUCAAUCUCAACACACAUUUAUAUGAUAGCUGGAUUAAAAAGGAUUCCACUCAAGAUGUUCCGCCUAGCAUCCAGCUGCACUCCCAGUCAGCAAAAGUUACAGUUAAUAUAGUCAAGAAGUCUUCGCAGGUAUGAUGUCGACUAUUUGAAUUGAUGAUGUUUGACUAUGAAAAUUGAUGAUGUUUUGUUAAAUUGAUAAUGUUUUCCUAUGAAAUUUGAUGAAGUUUGGCUAUGAAAUUGGAUAUGUUUUACUAUGAAAAAUGAUGAUGUUUUACUAUGAAAAUUGAUGAUGUUUUGCUUUGAAAAUUGAUGAUGUUUAACAAUGUGAAAGUUGUAGUGAUGAAGUUUUGCUAUGAAAAUUGAUGAUACUUUGCUUUAAAUAUUUAUUAUGAAAAAUCAUGAUGCUUUACUAUUUGAAGUGAUGUCGCUUUACUAUUUGAAGUGAUGAUGCUUUACUAUUUGAAGUGAUGAUGUUUGACUAUGAAAUUUGAUGAUAUUUAACAAUAUGAAGUUUGAAAUGAUGAGGCUUGACUUUGAACAAUGUUAAAAUGUGAUCAUGUGAGAGUAUGUAAAAUGAUGAUUGUUGGCUAUGAAAAGUGUUUAUGUUUGGCUUUGAAAAUUGAUGAUGUUUAUUAUAAAUAAUGAUGAUCAAGUAUAUCUUGGCUUGUUGUUUAUGAACUUUCUACAGUUAUAAUUUGCAAAUAGGUGUGACGGUUUAGCUCAAAUGAAAAAAAUUAUUGUUAAAAGCUGUGUAAAAUGAGUGACACAACUAACAAUUAUGAAGUGCAUAUUUCAGUGCACCUGCUUCAAGCUUUUCCAGUAGUUUCCAUAGUGAUUUUUUUCAAAAAUGAUGCUAAACCAGAGUGGCUAAAGUAGCCCUGAAAGUGCUCAGAAUGCAGGAUUUUGCUUCCUGGAUUUCAAAAUUUUCCGGGGGGGCAUGCCCCCGGACCCCCCUAUCAGGCCUCCUUCAUU